AGGAUUCCCCUAGUAGCGGCGAGCGAAGCGGGAAGAGCUCAAAUUUAUAAUCUGGCACCUUCGGUGUCCGAGUUGUAAUCUCUAGAAGUGUUUUCCGCGUUGGACCGCACACAAGUCUGUUGGAAUACAGCGGCAUAGUGGUGAAACCCCCGUAUAUGGUGCGGACGCCCAGCGCUUUGUGAUACACUUUCAAUGAGUCGAGUUGUUUGGGAAUGCAGCUCAAAUUGGGUGGUAAAUUCCAUCUAAAGCUAAAUAUUGGCGAGAGACCGAUAGCGAACAAGUACCGUGAGGGAAAGAUGAAAAGCACUUUGGAAAGAGAGUUAACAGUACGUGAAAUUGUUGGAAGGGAAACGCUUGAAGUCAGACUUGCUUGCCGGAGCUUGCUUCGGUUUGCAGGCCAGCAUCAGUUUUCCGGGGUGGAUAAUGACGGUUUGAAGGUAGCAGUCUCGGCUGUGUUAUAGCUUUCCGUUGGAUACAUCCUGGGGGACUGAGGAACGCAGCGUGCUUUUUGCGAAAGACUCGUCUUUUUCACGCUUAGGAUGCUGGUGGAAUGGCUUUAAACGACCCGUCUUAAC
rnacentral:rRNA from 1 species